GUGUUAGAUUUUGGCAAUUUUGAAACAAGCAGUAACAAUAAAUGCACAAACUCUUCUAGCAGAGACUUUUAACAGCAGACAAGCAUUGAUAGUCAGUGCUUGGUUUCCUUUGUUCCUUUUAGUUUUUUCAGCUGCGUCACAUCGGAGCAAUAUUAAGACAAUUCAACAAGACGUGGAUACGUUGCACUGAAGUUUGUACAGCGAUAAACUGUGUCAUGACAAAAGAGGCUUAAUUAAGAUGGAACGGACAACGGUUCAUUUGCAAACGACUGAAGAAAGCCAUGUACUUUUAAGAGUAGCUGCUUCAUGUCCAAACAAUGUCUGAUUUGUUAUCGCUCUUGGGGUACGUUCACACUGCAGUUGAAAGUGACCAAAUCUGAUUUUUUUCCAGUCUUCUGCAACUUCAAUCGGUGCACAAACAUAUGGAAUCUGAUGUUAGCAUUUCAAUGUGGUCCUUAAUCAGAUACUGGUCUGAGAUUUUUCAACGUGACCUCAGUCUGAAUCAUGAGGAAAGGACUUUUUUUCCGAAAUGAAGCUGGCGUGGCAGCGUCUUAAAAUGUAACUAGUGCGUUAACCUGUGGGUAUCCAUGGGUUCUAGAUGUGGUAGUUUUUCUGCUGUUGUGUAUUCGUUCAUCUUGUACCGCAUUUGUCCAGCAGCCACCGCCAAAGAGUUUUAGGUAUAGCCAUGUGAUUGUAAGGCUAUUGUAUUCCAAAAUUACUAAUAUAUCCCCAAAUAUUGGUCCUAUCAACUUGCCGUUUUCGCUAGUCUGUUCCUUGACCAAAAAUUCAAAAGUAUGCCAAAUUGCAGCAGUCAGCUCUCUCGGGAUUUUACGUGAAUCCUGAGACACAUACACACACGCACACAGAGGCCACUUGGCUUUUAUAAUAUAGAUAUCGGUAACGGCCACCGGAUACUGCAGAAAAAUGCAGGCUCCCAAAGUCAAUCAUUCAUUCCCCCAGGAUUCAUUGUGGUCUCAUCCAUUUUAUUUUCAAUUUCUUAUAAGUGAUCUGGUCCAUCUUUAAAUUUAUCCUCAGUUAAUCAGAUCUCAGGGUGAAGAGGGUUUGAUGUCUGCCAUGUCUGGCUUUGAUUGGCAGGUCUGUAUGAUGGCUCACCCACCUGCCAAGUCUGACUUUAGGAGUUUUGGUUUAUUUAAAAAACAUAACAAGCCUGUAAAAAUACUGUCUUACACAGUUUUAGAUAAAGUUUCCUAUUUUACAGAUUAGCAUUAGCUUCUGUUUAGCAUUAGUUCACCUAUUACCCCUCAGCUUCCAGCAAUUCUGCUGCUUUUGUCCAAAUAUGGUCUCUUCUAGCUCCAGAAGCUACCAUGAAAAUAGCCAAAUUGCAAACUACUACCAUCAAAAUGGCAGUUUAGAAGUCAAUGGGUGUUGUCACAUUUUGCUAAUUAUAUACAGUCUAGGGCAGGGGUGGUUAGAAGAAGAUUUGUCACAGCUCUGAACUGAAGGGAGUCACAGGCUGUAAAAUAGUUCUUAUACAGCAUACACUCAAAACUGCAAGGCAGGAAAAUGUAUGUAACAUGUAUGACUGAGAAGGUUUGCAUUGUCGUGUCACAUGUAAAAAUCCAGUCUUUCUGUCACAUUAGGCAUCCACCAAUUGUUGCUGUUUCCAAUGUCAUUUAAAUAUUGACUUAUUUUAAUGUUGGUCACAUCCUGAUGUAAAAAAAAAAUACUUGAUAUUGAACAGGCAAACAAAACAUACUCAUUCAACUGUAACAUCACCUUUUAUUUGACUGUAAGUAAAAUUAGCCAUUUGGAAGUUCAACUCAAAGAGACAUCACUGGGUGAAUCGGUGCAGGGACCGGGUUAUGGCUCUGGAGAAAAAGAACCAGUCAAGCAAAAUGUACUUGGCAGACGGACAAAAAAACAAAAAAACAAAAAACAUCAGGGUUGAAAUGGGACUGAAUCAGGUCUGAGCUGCCCAGCAACAGAGGAAUGUUAAGAUUGAAUGGUUUGUUUUGUAUGGCUGAUAAUCAGUAUCUGAAAUUACAGAUACUAUAAUUUAAAAGUAUAUUGAAGAGAAAUUGGAAAUAGUUAUUGUUGUGUUGAAAGAUACAUUUUUUUUCAUAGGAAAAUGUCUUGUUAAAUAGUAAAACACUGACAGAAACCUCUUUACCACAUACAUAUAGUUAAUACUUGCAUAUUUCAGCUUAAAAGUAUAGUUUAAGGCUUUAACUUAUAGUGGAGUGUCUUCACUGUGUGUAUUAUACUCAAUGGACUGAUCUGAAAACUUGUUAUUUUUUUUCUUUUUUUUUGUGGAUGCGGUUCAGUUCAGGAGCCACAUUUUGGAAAAAUAAUGCAAAAAAAAAAAAAAAAAAA